UACGGGGGGAGCAAGCGUUGUUCGGAUUUACUGGGCGUAAAGGGCGCGUAGGCGGUCAGCACAAGUCAGUUGUGAAAUCUCCGAGCUUAACUCGGAAAGGUCAACUGAUACUGUGCGACUAGAGUGCGGAAGGGGCAACUGGAAUUCUUGGUGUAGCGGUGAAAUGCGUAGAUAUCAAGAGGAACACCAGUGGCGAAGGCGGGUCUCUGGGCCGAUACUGACGCUGAGGAGCGAAAGCGUGGGGAGCGAACAGG
rnacentral:rRNA from 1 species